rnacentral:lncRNA from 1 species
AGGAACUGGAUUUAAAUGGCGAGAUGCAGACAACGUUCCUGGACUGAAAGGUUUGGCUGCAGCAGAAAGCUUGCUUCCAUUUGUUUCAGAAGAUUUUGCUUGAUCAGAUGAAGGGGAAACCUUCUCAAGUUCUGAUGAAGAGUUAUCUUGUUCAGAUUCAUCUUGUUGUGGAUCUGUAUCAGCAUCAGAAGGUUCUUUUUCAUCUUUUUGUGGAACUGUAUCAGCAUUAGAUGUUUCAACAGAACCUUCAUUUUUCGGCAUCUCGUUU